rnacentral:tRNA from 1 species
AUUUUUAUAGUUUAAUUAAAACAUGACCUUGAAAAUGUCAAAAAAAUCUAUAAUGAUUUAAGAGUA